rnacentral:sRNA from 1 species
UCCUCCCUCCCUCCCUUUUCCUUUCCGUUUAGAAGACUCAUGGGAGCUUUAAUAGCUGAUGAAUCAUUUUAACAUUUGAAUCUUUUAAAGAGGGUUUGGAAGAGCUGGGACACAAGCUACAGGCCUACAGAAGGACAAAGAUGAAGAGUCAAAAAAAAGUGUUAAUACCUAGGGGAAUGAGAAUCAGUCAAACCCAAGGUGGCCAGGCUGUGUAGCCUUAACCCUUGAAGUGAGGGUAAUCAUUCGGAGAGGCAAGGAUGAGAACAUGAGGUCUGGAAGAGGGCACAAGUCUGGGGAAACCGGGAGAGUCUAGGCAUGUUUGUGUGGCAAUAAGGCAUUUGAGAAAGAAAGGAGGGAAAGGGGAAUGUUCAGGAAAAGACACUAAUGGGGAAGCUUUAGGUGCCAACUCCAAGCCUUCCCUGUAGCAAGGGAAAGCUGCUAAGGGCCUUUGGAAUGAGGAAGAGCUAAAGUUUCACAAUGAUUGGCCGGAUGUAGAUUGGGUCCAUGGCUGAGGGCCUGAUGGAAGUUUAUGACAAAGCGAUACAGAUGUGCCGGGCCCUGAUAGUGGAGAUGGAGAGAUUAUAGUGAUGUCGCUCUCGGGAGCCCAACGACACGGGGCCACCAAAGUCUUCUCUCUGCAGAGCUAUUGCGGGCUUGCCCGGAUGUUUUUGCACAGUUCGUGACUAACCGAGAAUAUCUGAAAUUAAAAUUCCGAGUCACACCCAGAACAGACCAUUGCCCCUGUGAAGAGAUAGCCCAGGUGUACUGAGAGACCGUCUUAAAGAUGCUCCUGGGCCACAAAUUGGCAACAGAAUUGGCCAUAUAUCUACUGGUUCCCAGAGAAGAAGCCAGUUCCAGGGUGGCCUCGGUUUCCUCCUCAUGGGAUUAAUGUCUCAGAGAGGAGCCCCCCUGAGACAUGAUUAGCUUCAAAGCUAGUCAUGCUUGCACUCCUAGUUUUUACAUUGUUUUGUUUUCUUCGCUACAGACCCUGAGAACCUGAACAACAAUCUUAUACCCUGAACCUAGAGACCAGGGAGACAGCAGUAGAGGUGUCAAGGAGGAAGAAGAAGAGAUUCUGCCCCUCACUGUCCAACUUGAGGAGAGAAAUCCUCUGUGUACACAUGUACAUGGCUCCCAGCUCUGCUCUGAGCCACAAUCAGCAGGGAUGAUGAGUGGGAGCAAGGAGAGAGGACCCUGCUGCUCUGAAACUACCUCUAACCCCCACAGGUCGUUCAACCCAGGUCAAAACUUAGAGCUGGACACAGCGAUUGCAUACCUGUAAUCCCAGCACCUGGUGGAAGCAUGACAUUCCCAGAGCGCAGGACCAACCCCAGUCAGCUACAUAGUGAAUUGCAGACCACCCUGGGAUACACAAUACCUCAACACUAUCCCAGAGUGACUGUGCUUUCCUAUGCAGGAUCUGGAACCUUCUACCUUCUGGCGUAGUUAGCUAGAGAGAAAAGUCAAAGUUUGAUAUUUAGAUAUCACUUGGCCUUGUACUGGCAAUGUGACCUUGGAAUAAUUAACUUCUCAAACUUGUUUUGUCAUCCUUUAAAAGAGAAUAGCAGUGCUUAUUGUGAUGAGACCAUUGCGAAGAUGUUACUUCACAGACAUCAUCUCUGAAGUAUCUAAUACAGUAUCAUUCCAAUUCUUAUAUAGGAUGGGCAAGAGUAAACAGGUAAUGCUGGGUAGUUUGGGAUCUAGCCCUCCAACCACAGCUAUGUCAUUGAUAAAAUGGAGCUGGAAACAUGCUUUUUGCAAGAGGAUUGAGACCUAAAGAUAAAGAGUUCAUCACAGCCCUGGGCCAUGGUAGACCCUAAAGAAAUGCAUUCCUCAGAGGUCUCCAGCAGGGACCAGUAUCUCUAGCAAACAGUCCCCAGGAAGGUUGUAAAGGUUAUAUCAGAAUCAGUGCAGAAGUAUGAAUGCUGGACAAAAAAGAGACACCACCGAGUCCUAAGUCACCAAAAGGUCAAGCUCCAUACUUAGAGGUAUGGAGCAAGAUCCCUGCCUGGGCAGGACAUGGGACCUGGCAGGAACUUGCCCCUUGGAACUACUACCACAUAUUACCAGUCAUAUGGUGUGUCUUCCAUGGCCUUAUGAUCAUAGCCACCCCGAUGUGUCUGAAGGCCGGCAUCAUCAAUGCAAGCUGCCAGGUAAGGCUCUAGAGAGGCAAGAAAUCAUGAAGCAGGACCCUUAUUUUUCUCACAGUGGAAGCCAGUAUCUCUGGGGUACCAUCACAAGCCAUCUAGUACCUAUAGACUCCUUGAGCUGCCCUAUACAGGGACAACGGAAGAACUCCAUGGGACAUCAAUGAGAUUUCAUCUCUCCAAUCCUACCUUGCAACAAGACUUUCAGGAUCCUCCCUGGAGAAGCAACCUGCUCUCCCAAUACCACAUCCCAUUGCACACCGCGCUGCUUUAGCUCUGGCCAUUAAAGUCUUGUUCCCUUUCAUAAA